GUUAUCUAUCUUGUAUCAACCUUUGCUCCUUGUCUAGUUUAAAUUAGUUUGUCUCUCUACACAACUCAGAUUGCCUGGUUUUGUUAGUAAGAUUUGUAUAAAGUGAGAGCCAGCAUCCCACUUGUCCAUGGAUUGAUAAACCUUUGGGAAUACUCUAAGGGAAAAGCUACAACCGAUUAGCGCACUAACUGCCGUCAACAAGCUUUUCUGGCACCGUUGCUGCAA
rnacentral:lncRNA from 1 species